rnacentral:rRNA from 1 species
AGCGGCGGACGGGUGAGUAAUGCCUGGGAAAUUGCCCUGAUGUGGGGGAUAACCAUUGGAAACGAUGGCUAAUACCGCAUAAUAGCUUCGGCUCAAAGAGGGGGACCUUCGGGCCUCUCGCGUCAGGAUAUGCCCAGGUGGGAUUAGCUAGUUGGUGAGGUAAUGGCUCACCAAGGCGACGAUCUCUAGCUGGUCUGAGAGGAUGAUCAGCCACACUGGAACUGAGACACGGUCCAGACUCCUACGGGAGGCAGCAGUGGGGAAUAUUGCACAAUGGGCGCAAGCCUGAUGCAGCCAUGCCGCGUGUAUGAAGAAGGCCUUCGGGUUGUAAAGUACUUUCAGCAGUGAGGAAGGUGGGUAUGUUAAUAGCAUAUUCAUUUGACGUUAGCUGCAGAAGAAGCACCGGCUAACUCCGUGCCAGCAGCCGCGGUAAUACGGAGGGUGCGAGCGUUAAUCGGAAUUACUGGGCGUAAAGCGCAUGCAGGUGGUUUGUUAAGUCAGAUGUGAAAGCCCGGGGCUCAACCUCGGAAUUGCAUUUGAAACUGGCAAA